rnacentral:rRNA from 1 species
CUACGGAGGGUGCAAGCGUUAAUCGGAAUUACUGGGCGUAAAGCGUGCGUAGGUGGUUUGUUAAGUCAGAUGUGAAAGCCCCGGGCUCAACCUGGGAACUGCAUUUGAAACUGGCAUACUAGAGUAUAGGAGAGGAAAGUGGAAUUUCAGGUGUAGCGGUGAAAUGCGUAGAUAUCUGAAGGAACAUCAAUGGCGAAGGCAGCUUCCUGGACUAAUACUGACACUGAGGUACGAAAGCGUGGGUAGCAAACAGGAUUAGAAACCCUAGUAGUCC